rnacentral:rRNA from 1 species
GAUGAACGCUGGCGGCGUGCUUAACACAUGCAAGUCGAACGAAGCAUUUGCGACAGAUUUUUUCGGAAUGAAGUUGCUUAUGACUGAGUGGCGGACGGGUGAGUAACGCGUGGGUAACCUGCCUUGUACUGGGGGAUAGCAGCUGGAAACGGCUGGUAAUACCGCAUAAGCGCACAAUGUUGCAUGACAUGGUGUGAAAAACUCCGGUGGUAUAAGAUGGACCCGCGUCUGAUUAGCUAGUUGGUGAGAUAACAGCCCAUCAAGGCGACGAUCAGUAGCCGACCUGAGAGGGUGACCGGCCACAUUGGGACUGAGACACGGCCCAGACUCCUACGGGAGGCAGCAGUGGGGAAUAUUGCACAAUGGAGGAAACUCUGAUGCAGCGACGCCGCGUGAGUGAAGAAGUAAUUCGUUAUGUAAAGCUCUAUAAGCAGGGAAGAUAGUGACGGUACCUGACUAAGAAGCUCCGGCUAAAUACGUG